CCUCCCAUGGCACUGUUAACUCUACCAGGUGAACAAGGCGUGCUGAUCCAGACCACAAGACAAUAUCUGGUCGAAGGUUAGUGGUGGCAAUCUCAGGUGGAAAAAUAAGCCGUUGACCAACAUCUGCCAGAUUUUCCAAUCUCUAGCAGCUUCCAGUUGUCCUGGUAUCUGCUUUUCUGACGGAUGAAGAGAUGACUUUUCUAACGAGGGAAGGCUUGGACCAGCAGAAUCCCUUGCACUUCACUGAAUCGUUCCAGUAUCAUUAGAAUCCAGCCCUGGAGACUUACUAGGGAAAGUAGCCAGCAGGAAAGUUUGGCAUUGCCCUAUCUAUUGUGAAUGCAGUAACUAAGGCAACAGGUUUGAUGUUUCCGUCAGUCAAGCUUUAAUAAAUGUUUAACUUUCCACAGUUUAAGAGUGCAUCUUAAUGUUCUAUAAGCAGCUGACAACAUUGUAUGUACGUUGUGUACUGUUCAGUACACACAUGUAUUAAUCAGCCAACGCAAAGUGAAUGUGGAGCCCUAAUGUUCAGAGCACUGUAUGCAUCUUGGACAGAGCAAACAUAGUGCUGUUAUAUAAUGAUAAAAAGUGAAAGGCUCUGUAUAGAAAUAACAUGCUUUAUCUCAUAAUGUAUGCAUUAUUCUGGACAGGAAGAUUAAAGUGCUCGAAUUCUAACUCCAGAAAAGUUCAAUGCGUUUUUAAUCUAGGGUGGGUUUCUGGCCUGUUCCAAAUACAGGAAUUAUCAUUUAGUAGCAAUUCUAUUUUGGAUUGCAUUCCCUGUGGCUCCGCUCCUUCCCAGUUUAUAUACAAUAUUGAUAAAAUGCCAACUGCACCUCAGUGAAUCCAAAAUUCAAUUUGAGCUGCAGAUAAAUCAUGAAAAGGGCAUGUGAUGGGGUGCUAGCUCACCCCUAUAAAUAUGUGUUGUUUGUUAUUGUUGUUAUUUUUACUGUUUUCAUUAUGGUUUUUGUGAUUCUUGGUUUGUUUUGGAUUGGCAGGGAGGGGGUUAAAUUCCUCCCUGUAAAAUGCAUGUGAGAAUGUGGCUGGAGCCUUAAGUGUAUAAUUGUUAAUUAUUAGUUAAUUGGGCUCCAGCCACAGACUAUAAAAGACAGCUGAAACCCUUUGUU